GACGUAGGGGACGAGCGUUGUCCGGAUUCAUUGGGCGUAAAGCGCGCGUAGGCGGCCACGCAAGUCGGGUGUGAAAUCCCGGAGCUCAACUCCGGAACUGCACUCGAAACUGCGCGGCUUGAGGUAGGUAGGGGAGAUCGGAAUUCCUGGUGUAGCGGUGGAAUGCGCAGAUAUCAGGAGGAACACCGAUGGCGAAGGCAGCUCGCUGGGACGGUACUGACGCUGAGGCGCGAAAGCGUGGGGAGCGAACAGG
rnacentral:rRNA from 1 species